GCGGUGCGCCUAACACAUGCAAGUCGAACGCGAACCAUUUAGAUCACUUUGAAGGGCUUGCCUGGAUGAGUGUGAAAUUUUCGGUUUGAGUGGCGAACGAGAGAGUAAUGUAUUGGUAUCUCCCCCCAAGUCAGGGAUAGCCCAUCGAAAGAUGGAUUAAUACCGGAUAGUCCCGCAAGGGUAAAGCAGCAAUGCGCUCGGGGAAGAGCCUGUAUCCUAUCAGCUAGUUGGCGGGGUAAUAGCCCACCAAGGCAAUGACGGGUAGCUGGUCUGAGAGGACGACCAGCCUCGAUGGAACUGAGACACGGUCCAUACACCUACGGGUGGCAGCAGUGAGGAAUCUUCCACAAUGGACGAAAGUCUGAUGGAGCGACACCGCGUGAAGGAUGAAGGUUUUGUUAUUGUAAACUUCUUUUCUCAGGGACGAUAAUGACGGUACCUGAGGAAUAAGGGACGGCUAACUAUGUGCCAGCAGCCGCGGUAAUACAUAGGUCCCAAGCGUUUAUCCGGAAUUACUGGGCGUAAAGCGU
rnacentral:rRNA from 1 species